rnacentral:lncRNA from 1 species
CAUACAUAGGUGCUUUCCUUACAGAAGUCCUGGGAGAGAGAAGAACCAUGGAGCUAAACUCACUGACAAAAAUGACCAGCCCAGGAGUGUUCGCCCCCUCCAUCCCAUAGUCCCCCACUUCUCUGCUGGGAAGAAUGAAGCAUGCCUCAUCGGCUCUUCUCAGGGGACCAGUGUGAACUUUAAAAUUACUCCACCCUACUUAGACC